AUUGACUGAGUUGGUUAGAGGAUGGUUCUCGAUAACGUCGCGAUCUUCUUGUGAAAGUCCUGCCAUUUUGAUGGUAUAAAAGACUGUUGAGUUGGUGCAGGUAAACUGCGAGUUGUAAAGGGAGAAAAGUUCAGUUGGUAUGCUAAUUUUACAUGAUGAAUGGGAAGCAAACACGGAACAAAAAUGCAGAAAUGUUAGGAAGUUAUGAUGUAUGAUACUUGCAAGAGAAGAUAGCUCGCUGGGAACGGAUGCUGGUAUAUAUAAUCAAAGGAAGGGAGGAUUAUGGUCAAAUGGUUGAUCCGACUUGGCUUUGAUGCAGAACGCGAAUU
rnacentral:sRNA from 2 species